rnacentral:rRNA from 1 species
GAUGAGCGCUGGCGGCGUGCCUAAUACAUGCAAGUCGAGCGAACGGACGAGAAGCUUGCUUCUCUGAUGUUAGCGGCGGACGGGUGAGUAACACGUGGAUAACCUCCCUAUAAGACUGGGAUGACUUCGGGAAACCGUAUCUAAUACCGGACAAUACUUUCAACCGCAGGGUUCAAAUGUGAAAGACGUUCUUGCUGUCGGUGAUAGCUGGGUCGGCGCUGUAUCGGCUGGUUGUGAAGGUAAUGGCUUACCAAGGCAACGAGGCGUAGCCGACCGGUGAGGGCGACCGGCGACACGGGCACUGAGGGACGGCACAGACUGGUACGGUAGGCAGCAGGGGGAAAGAUUGCACAAUGGGCGAACGCUUGAUGCAGCGACGCCGCGUGAGGGAUGACUGCCUUCGGGUGGUAAACCUCUUUCAGAAGGGAAGAAGCGAAAGUGACGGUACCUGAAGAAGAAGCCCCGGCUAACUACGUG